GAAGGAAGGAAGGAAGGAAGGAAGGAAGGAAGGCCAAUAUUAUUAAAAUCAGCUCUCUAGAAUCCCUGGAGUGCAACUAUGUUCAAAUUUCAACUCAAUUUGAAACUCUAUUACAGUCAAGGACCAGCUAUACAGCUAGACCUAUCUGAAAUAUUGAGGACAAGAAUAAAUAUCUCAAACAAAAUAUCCUUGGAUAAAAGUCUUCAAUGAUACUUUAGGUAAAAAAAAAGUCUAGGUUAAGCUCAAAACACUGUUAUUGAAACUAGACUAAGAACUGAAUCUCUUUUUCUAGAGCUAGCACAUGUUUAGUUGGAUCCUUG